rnacentral:misc_RNA from 1 species
AAGUCGUAACAAGGUUUCCGUAGGUGAACCUGCGGAAGGAUCAUUACCGAGAUAGGGUUCUUUUAGGGCCCGACCUCCAACCCUUUGUUUAAAUACCACUGUUGCCUCGGCGAGCCGUCGAAUUCGUUUGCCUUUGGCUCUAGGCCUUUGUGCGCUCGCCGAUGGAUUUUUCAAACCCUUUUAAACUAGUAUUCUGAGCGAGAAUUAAUACUUCAAAACUUUCAACAACGGAUCUCUUGGUUCUG